GACCGUGUAGCUCAAUUGGCAGAGCAUUGGGCUAGUAUUCCAAAAAUCGUAGGUUCGAUUCCCACCUUGGACA
rnacentral:tRNA from 1 species